GGGAGCAGGAGAAGCAGGCUGCUUCUGUGAGCGCUGAGUCCUCAGUCCUUCCCUCUGCCAAGCAGCAGCUGCUCCACUGGCUCCCAGAAAGCCCCUCCUGCAGGCAAUGUUUGAGGAGAAGCACAAAGUGAAAAUGGCAGAUCUCAUCACCAUUCUAGUAGAAGAGAUGUUUUAAAGGGCCCCUAGCGUCCAGCUGUCUCUUCCAUCUCACAGCGAUAGGAUUCUGACACGUGGUGUAUAUUUCUGUACUCUUUCAGGAGUGCCUUCCUGGUGUGACUAGAAUAUCUAACGGACGCCCGGAUCUGGGGUCAUAGAACCACCGGCAGCAGUCUGGGAAGAACGCCUCACCUCCUUCCGCAUCUGGUGGUGGAUUCCAGCACUAACAGUGCCUGACUUCUCUGGUACUGUGGAAGUGAUUCGACUCAUCCAUUUCGCCCUUCUUUGCACGUGAAGAGUUAGACGAGAGCAUCAAAAUGAAAUUUGAAUUUCCUGUUCUCUAAAAUAGUGAUACCGUUAUCAUCAUUAACAUUCACAUGAACAUAAAAAGGUAUGUUUAAAUUUCAUUUACAAUUCAAGUAACUUUAUCUUUAUUGUUUAGGAAAAAGAUAUUGUCGGGAAUUACCCAAUAUUCCUAAAUAUGAUUGCUUUUUACACUGUAAGCUAUCAAAGUGAAUUGUCCAUUCGGAGAGUGGCUGCUUUUUGGGAUUCAUAGCUACCUGUGUGUGACAUGCUCAAACCGGUCCUAUUGGGAAAAGAUGUGUGAA
rnacentral:lncRNA from 1 species